rnacentral:lncRNA from 1 species
GACGAGCAGCCCACUCUCGUAGCCCAAAUCGGUCCAAGAUUAGUUCAACCAUCUCGGUUUCAAACUUUUGGGCUUACGAUCAAACCGGGGGCAUUCUCACCACAUUUCUCCGCUAAUUUGACAUUUCCCAACUCAAAUCUCACGCCCGGAGUCUACCACCUUUCCACUGCUUAAGGAGGCACAUUCCUUCCAAGCUCUUCCAAUCCAAAUGGUGGACAACACUUGUCAACAAGUCAUAGAGUUGACAAGUGCCCUAACGCAGCAAACAACCGUGGUGAACGAGCUCUUGCGACGUACCCCAAACGAGGUGUCCCAAAGUAGGACAAGGGCAGAUGAAGAACCUCUCCAGCAGCAUCCUAGCAAGUAGCCACUCGACCAUCCACGAACCGAGUGUUUGGGUAGAGUACACUCCUGAUCGGGCCCCCGAGAUAGCAUAUACUUUCAUCUUAGAGCACGGAGGAGCGUGCACUAUCGACUAGGCCCACCGAUGAGCAUACACACUUGGUUGAGGACGCACUCUGAUAAUCAACAUGAGCAGCCUUCCAAGCAAAGUAUUCAUUCACGGCUAAGUCCGCAAGGAGUAUCCUCCACAUUACAUCGGAGUAGGUAGUACAACAGACGGAAAGAAGCAGUCACUCAAUCCAGUUUAAGUUCAACCAGAAGCUUGUGAGUUACACGCUCGCCUAUUAGGAACAUACCACACCCACCGCAGCCACGGCAUAGACGAGCCGAACAUAUGGAAGAACAGCUUAGACCAGCACAUCACGAUUGGGGGCAGUCAAGAGCUUUGCCACCCUAACAAAGGAAAAUUCAGGAAGAAGUAGAAAGGCUUCUGACCAAGCGAUUGCGUAAUUUCUCGCGCCAACUAAGCCUCAAAAGGGUCUAUUCUCCUGUGCAAGAGGAUAAACUAAUUGUUCUCCAGUGCGAGAGGGUGAACCAAUUGCCGACACCCAGAUGGGUUUGCUCUGCAAUGUGAGAGGAUAAACUAAUUGCUCUCUGGUACAAUAGGGUAAACCAAUUCCCCGACACCCAUAUGGGUUUGCUCUCCAGUGUAAAAGGAUAAACUAAUUGCUCUCCAGUGCGAGAGGGUAAACCAAUUCCCUGAAACCCAAAAGGGUUUGCUCUCUAAUGCGAGAGGAUAAACUAAUUGCUCUGCAGUGGGAGAGGGUAAACUAAUUGCUCUCCAGUGCGAGAGGGUAAACCAAUUCCCCAACACCCAUAUGGGUUUACUCUCCAGUGCGAGAAGGUAAACUAAUUGCUCUCCAGUGCGAUAGGGUAAACUAAAUCCCUGACACCCAUCUGUGUAAGCUCUCCAGUGUAAGAAUGCCACAUAGUUGAAAAGAUUGAAUGCUUGAAGAUCAACUAAGCAACAAAUGUUGAAAAUCAAACUCAAGCAGUUUCCUCAUUUUCAGCAGGCAGCCCAGACGUGGCAGCCCAAACAAUUGCCUAUCCCACGCCACUUCCUCGCCCUAUGCCGAACCAAUCCUUUGCUACAAUCAAG